AUCAAAAAUCACUCCACUCACUCACUCAUUGGUUGUCUUGGGUGGAGUGUCCAAUCAGCCAACCAUGGAAGAGGAACAACAGCCAACCAAUCCCACGACCCCUCUCCUCCACCACCCCACCACCCGGUGGCACCACCGCCUCCUCGGCCUCAAAACCCCCCUCUCCUCCGAACUCGCCGGCUCCGUCGGCGACCUCGGCACCUUCAUCCCCAUCGUCCUCUCCCUCACCCUCGUCUCCCACCUCGACCUCUCCACCACCCUCCUCUUCACCUCCCUCUACAACAUCACCACCGGCCUCCUCUUCGAUAUCCCCAUGCCCGUCCAGCCCAUGAAGUCCAUCGCAGCCGCCGCCCUCUCCUCCUCCCCACCCCUCACCGUCCCCCAAAUCUCCGCCGCCGGCAUCUCCACCGCCGCCGUCCUCUUCCUCCUCGGCGCCACCGGCCUCAUGUCCUUCCUCUACAGGUUCAUCCCCCUCCCCGUCGUCCGCGGCGUCCAGCUCUCUCAAGGCCUCUCCUUCGCCUUCACCGCCGUCAAGUACAUCCAAUUCAACCAGGAUUUCGCUAAAGGGAAAUCCGGGUCCACUCGGUCCUGGCUCGGACUCGACGGGCUCGUGAUCGCCUCUCUGUCUUUACUCUUCCUUAUCUUUUGUACCGGGUCAGGCGACGCACAGGCCAGCUUACACGCAUCUGGAGACACUGAGGACAUUGAACAAUCUCAAUCUCAAUCCCAACGUCGCGUUCGAAAAAGAUUGAGGGUUUUAUCGGCGAUUCCUGCCGCGCUGAUCGUGUUCCUAAUAGGAAUUAUUGUUUGUUUUAUUCGGGAUCCAUCGAUCUUUAAGGAUCUCAAAUUGGGUCCCUCGAAAAUUCAAUUUGUGAAGUUCACGUGGGAGGAUUGGAAGGUUGGGUUUGUUAAAGCGGCUAUACCUCAAAUACCGUUGUCUAUACUGAACUCUGUGAUUGCUGUUUGUAAGUUGUCCGGUGAUCUGUUUCCUGAAAAGGAAGUAUCGGUGACGGCGGUUUCGAUGAGUGUGGGGGUGAUGAAUUUGGUCGGGUGCUGGUUCGGCGCAAUGCCGGUGUGCCACGGCGCCGGUGGGUUGGCGGGGCAGUACCGGUUCGGCGGCCGGAGCGGCUUGUCGGUGGUGUUUCUGGGGGUUGGGAAGUUGGUGCUUGGGUUGGUUUUGGGGAACUCGUUUGGGAGGAUAUUGGGUCAGUUCCCGAUAGGGAUUCUUGGGGUGCUGUUGCUGUUUGCUGGGAUUGAGUUGGCUAUGGCCUCAAGGGAUAUGAACACUAAGGAGGAGUCGUUUGUGAUGCUUGUCUGUGCUGCUGUUUCACUCACUGGUUCUAGUGCUGCUUUGGGAUUUGGGUGUGGGAUUGUGCUGUUUCUGCUCCUGAAAAUGAGGCAAAUGGAAUGGACUAGUUGUGUUGGGUUUUCUGAAUGUAACUUCAAAUCUUCUCUUCAUGAAGCUGGUCAGUUUCAGCCCUUGGAAUCUUAGGGAGUGUAGAUCAACCUGAAUCAGAAACUCUUAUCCAUUGGAAAUUGGCAAUACCACUCCAACAAACCUUACCAAUUUGCAAAUGAUUUGAUCAAUCAUACCUCCUGCCACUUCUCUGCCUGAUCGAUCAUCAUUGCGCCAGGGACCUCUUAAACGGGCAUGUCAUGAGUAGCAGAGCUAAAUCACUAGCAGGCUUCAUGUUGAGUUUUCAGGCUCGCUUAGGUGAAAGGAACAUUAACAUUAUGAGCUCCUUAAUGCAGCACAAGCUUCCUGUUAUAGACUUUUUCAAGAAAAACUCUAAGCCUGUACAUAUUCAUGAUUCAUGCUUGUCGUGAAUCCUGCCAAAGGGUAUGGCUGUUUCUUUGCAAUUUGAGACAAAUCUGCCGAAGAGAUCCACGGCAUUCUUCAACGAAAUGAAAGAGUUCUUUGAUUCAAGUCCAAAAUACUUCUGAUAAGACUGAUAUGCUUGGCUUCGGUCAACAUGGAAUCCCCUCCACCUUGCUGGUUGAUUACAUAGGCUUUGAAAUGCAGCCUCUCUUGAUGCAACUCAAAGUUUCACCAACCUCUUGUGGUCUCACGGAAACAACACUUUCUGAUAGAAGUUUGUGUUUUUUUGUUCACUUAAUGUUUCUUUGUUACUUUUCGAUUCAAUCGUGGUCAGUGAAACAGGCAUCUGUACUCGAACUUAUUGUCAGUGUUAUGUAAUUUGUAUGACUCCCUUGAUUCAUUCAGCCUCAUUCCUCUUGAUAUCCCUGAAUUAUCGACUACCCCAGAUGAACGAUAUUUGUCCGGACUGUCGUUGAUGCAAAUCAAGUUCAAGGUUUGGGAGAUUGAAACAAGGGUGAGUGGAUCGGUCA